rnacentral:lncRNA from 1 species
AUGAGCAAGACAGACAAAACCCUGCCCUUGAGAACUUCCAGUGGGGAAAGACCAGCAAAAUCAAGAGGAGUGCUACGGUGCUUUUCCUGUGAGUUCCUGGCUUUCCAAUACAGAGUUCCGUAUUUAUUGGGAUUAAAGAAGGUAUUUAGUUUGUCAGGUGGUGCCUUCAAGGAAGCGAAGGGGGUGCGGUUCACAGGAAGAAAUGAGCCCAAAGGAGACUGCCAAUUACUGCACCUGUCAGUGUUCAACAACAGAUAAAAUUAAUUCAGAAACCCAAACAGUCUGCAGAAAACCGAACACAAUUAUCUAAGAAAUUAAGUUAUACCGUCGCUAUGACCUUUAAUCAAUCAUCCAACCGUUAAUGUUAAUUUUGUGAUCUAAAAAUCAUAGUUCUAUUUGCAUUUUAAUGGCUGCUAAAUGAGUGUCAUCAGGAAGAAAUAAUGGCAGGGUGGCCUUUUGCUACAAAUUCUUCCUUCCUAAUGGUAAUGCGGAAAGCUAGGAAACGGUGUUUGGAAAAGGUUUUGUUUCGCCUUCCAGCAGAUGUAUGGAGCUGCCCUUCUCAAAUGAAAAAACAAGCAAUUCCCCACAAAUACCACCACCUGUUGUUAUAAAUAAAUCCAAGCUGUAAAAUGGAACUCAGGCUUAAUGGCAAAAUCAUUACGGGCAUCCUACCCCCCUCCUGCCAACCGUUCAUUACGGCCUCGUAACCACUUGUUUCUCAGUCAUGUACCUUUUUAAGCUUCCGACUGGCCAUCAGGCACCAUCCCUAACCAGGAGAGAUGGCCUGUGGAUUUGUGGCUAAAAAUAUAAAGUUACCCACCUCGGGGAGAAUGAUCACAUGUCGUGUGCCUGGUUUAAAUGGCUAGAAACUGGCUACAUGCCACUCCAUAUUUAGGUUUUCCUUUAAAUCUUAAUCCAGACAUCCAGUGGCGUAUUUCACAGCUAAUGAACCUAACCUUCAAGUAGGAGCAUAAAAUCCUAAUUAAAUCAGGGCAUCGUGAGGUUAUUGGCAGGCUGUUUAUAAUUUGGCAGACUCUUGCUUCUAUGAGUAGUUAUAGGAAAAU